rnacentral:rRNA from 1 species
GUAGGUGGCGAGCGUUAUCCGGAAUGAUUGGGCGUAAAGGGUGCGUAGGUGGCAGAACAAGUCUGGAGUAAAAGGUAUGGGUUCAACCCGUACUGGCUCUGGAAACUGUUCAGCUAGAGAACAGAAGAGGACGGCGGAACUCCAUGUGUAGCGGUAAAAUGCGUAGAUAUAUGGAAGAACACCGGUGGCGAAGGCGGCCGUCUGGUCUGUUGCUGACACUGAAGCACGAAAGCGUGGGGAGCAAAUAGGAUUAGAUACCCUAGUAGUCCACGCCGUAAACGAUGAGAACUAGGUGUUGGGGGAAUAACUCAGUGCCGCAGUUAACGCAAUAAGUUCUCCGCCUGGGGAGU